UCCUUGGUGGUCCAGUGGUUAAGACAUUGUGCUUCCAAUGCAGGAGACUUGGGUUCAAUCCCCGGUCAGGGAA
rnacentral:tRNA from 1 species